UACGGGGGGAGCAAGCGUUGUUCGGAUUUACUGGGCGUAAAGGGCGCGUAGGCGGUCGUGACAAGUCACUUGUGAAAUCUCCGGGCUUAACCCGGAACGGUCAAGUGAUACUGUCGGACUAGAGUACAGAAGGGGCAACUGGAAUUCUCGGUGUAGCGGUGAAAUGCGUAGAUAUCGAGAGGAACACCUGCGGCGAAGGCGGGUUGCUGGGCUGAUACUGACGCUGAGGCGCGAAAGCCAGGGGAGCGAACGGG
rnacentral:rRNA from 1 species